UAAUUCGAUAUAAAAGCAAAAAAUCUAUGUCUUUAAGCAUGAAAUAAGGUUAAAAUUUAAAUCAAAGGUCGUUUAGAAUAUUAAAAAAAAUUAGAAAAAAAGGUAAAAAAAUAAAUAAUCCACUUUGAUUAUUUUUUUAAUAUUGCAAUUUCCCUAAGGAGGCAAUUAUAUUCAAGUGGACACUACAUUUUGUUGUAACUUCGUAGAAACCUUUAUAUUACUAUCUAGAAACGAUGAUAAAAAUUUCAAAAGGGUUGUAACUAGAGAAAAAAAAAAUAAAAAAAAAAUAGAAGGGAUUGAGUAUCCCUUUUGAAAUUUUUAUCAUCGUUUCUAGACAGUAACAGAAAGGUUUCUGCGAAGUUACAACAAAAUGUAGUGUCCACGAGCAGAGAUAUAGACAUUUGAAGUAAUGGUACAUAGGCGUUGUCUUAGAGAAAAAAAAAUAGAAGGGAUUGAGUAUCCCUUUUGAAAUUUUUAUCAUCGUUUUUAGAUAGUAAUAUAAAGGUUUCUACGAAGUUACAACAAAAUGUAGUGUCCACGAGCAGAGAUAUAGACAUUUGAAGAAAUGGUACAUAGGCGUUGUCUUAGAGAAAAAAAAAAAUAGAAGGGGUUGAGUAUCCCUUUUGAAAUUUUUAUCAUCGUUUCUAGACAGUAAUAGAAAGGUUUCUACGAAGUUACAACAAAAUGUAGUGUCCACGAGCAGAGAUAUAGACAUUUGAAGUAAUGGUACAUAGGCGUUGUCUUAGAGAAAAAAAAAAAUUAAAAAAAAUAGAAGGGGUUGAGUAUCCCUUUUGAAAUUUUUAUCAUCGUUUCCAGACAGUAAUAGAAAGGUUUCUACGAGGUUACAACAAAAUGUAGUGUCCACGAGCAGAGAUAUAGACAUUUGAAGAAAUGGUACAUAGGCGUUGUCUUAGAGAAAAAAAUAAAAUAAAAAAUAAAU
rnacentral:misc_RNA from 1 species